rnacentral:snRNA from 1 species
GGAUGUAAGGUGACCUGGCUGCAACAUCUGUCAUCCCAUUAAUUGUCAGGGCUAAUGUGGCUCAUCUGGCUGGCUACGCGGGUGUACCCUUCCUCCCUCACUGCUCUAUGAGCGCCCUUCCUGAACUUGAAGGGGGUGACUGUCCCUGAAUACAGGAGCACAGUCUUCAGUCAAGAGUAUAUGAGUAGCUGUGUUUCCCUGCUGGAACUUCCAAACAAGCUCUCAUUAAAAAAAAAAAAANNNNNNNNNNNN